rnacentral:rRNA from 1 species
CCUACGGGGCGCUGCAGUAGGGAAUAUUGCUCAAUGGGGGAAACCCUGAAGCAGCAACGCCGCGUGGAGGAUGAAGGUUUUCGGAUUGUAAACUCCUUUUGUUAGAGAAGAUAGUGACGGUAUUUAUCGCAUAAGCACCGGCUAACUCCGUGCCAGCAGCCGCGGUAAUACGGCGGGUGCAAGCGUUACUCGGAAGCACUGGGCGUAAAGUGCGCGUAGGCGGGAUAGCAAGUCAGAUGUGAAAUCCUAUGGCUUAACCAUAGAACUGCAUUUGAAACUGUUAUUCUAGAGUAUGGGAGAGGUAGGUGGAAUUCUUGGUGUAGGGGGAAAAUCCGUAGAGAUCAAGAGGAAUACUCAUUGCGAAGGCGACCUGCUAGAACAUAACUGACGCUGAUGCGCGAAAGCGUGGGGAGCAAACAGGAUUAGAUACCCGGGUAGUG